rnacentral:rRNA from 1 species
GGCUGAGUAACGCGUAGGUGACCUACCCGGAAGUGGGGAAUAACUGCCCGAAAGGGUGGCUAAUACCGCAUGUGAUCGGUGAUUCGAUUCACCGCUUAAAGGAGUAAUCCGCUUCCGGCGGGGCCUGCGUUCGAUUAGCUAGUUGGUGGGGUAACGGCUCACCAAGGCGACGAUCGAUAGCUGGUCUGAGAGGAUGAUCAGCCAGACUGGGACUGAGAACGGCCCAGACUCCUACGGGAGGCAGCAGUCGGGAAUUUUGCCCAAUGGACGAAAGUCUGAGGCAGCAACUCCGCGUGAGGGACGAAGGCUCUAGGGUCGUAAACCUCUUUUCUCAGGGAAGAUCCAAGACGGUACCUGAGGAAUAAGCCACGGCUAACUACGUGCCAGCAGCCGCGGUAAUACGUAGGUGGCAAGCGUUGUCCGGAUUUACUGGGCGUAAAGAGCGCGCAGGCGGCUGGUCAAGUCCGAUGUGAAAUCUCCCGGCUCAACUGGGAAACUGCAUCGGAAACUGAUCGGCUUGAAGGUGGGAGAGGGUAGUGGAAUUCCCGGUGUAGUGGUGAAAUGCGUAGAUAUCGGGAGGAACACCAGUGGCGAAGGCGACUACCUGGCCCAUUCUUGACGCUGAGGCGCGAAAGCUAGGGGAACGAACGGGAUUAGAUACCCCGGUAGUCCUAGCCGUAAACGAUGAACACUAGGCGUAGUCGGUAUCGACCCCGGCUGUGCCGUAGCUAACGCAUUAAGUGUUCCGCCUGGGGGAGUACGGCCGCAAGGCUAAAACUCAAAGGAAUUGACGGGGGCCCGCACAAGCAGCGGAGCGUGUGGUUUAAUUCGUCGCAACGCGAAGAA